rnacentral:rRNA from 1 species
UUUGCCUGCUAUCUCUUACCCAUGUCUUUUGAGUACCUUACGUUUCCUCGGUGGGUUCGCCCACCGAUUGGACAAAUUUAAACCCUUUGCAGUUGAAAUCAGCGUCUGAAAAAACUUAAUAGUUACAACUUUCAACAACGGAUCUCUUGGUUCUGGCAUCGAUGAAGAACGCAGCGAAAUGCGAUAAGUAGUGUGAAUUGCAGAAUUCAGUGAAUCAUCGAAUCUUUGAACGCACAUUGCGCCCCUUGGUAUUCAUGGGGCAUGCCUGUUCGAGCGUCAUUUGUACCUUCAAGCUCUGCUUGGUGUUGGGUGUUUGUCUCCUGUAGACUCGCCUUAAAACAAUUGGCAGCCGGCGUAUUGAUUUCGGAGCGCAGUACAUCUCGCGCUUUGCACUCAUAACGACGACAUCCAAAAGUACAUUUUUACACUCUUGACCUCGGAUCAGGUAGGGUAUACCCGCUGAACUUAAGCAUAUCA